rnacentral:rRNA from 1 species
AGCAGCCGCGGUAAUUCCAGCUCCAAUAGCGUAUAUUAAAGUUGCUGCAGUUAAAAAGCUCGUAGUUGAAUUUCGGGACCAAUAUGUCGGUCGUGCCUCGGUAUGUACUGGCAUCGUUGGUUUCUCCCUUCUGACGAACCAUGAUGUCAUUUAUUUGGUGUCGUGGGAAAUCAGGACUGUUACUUUGAAAAAUUAGAGUGUUUAAAGCAGGCUCACGCUUGAAUACAUUAGCAUGGAAUAAUGAAAUAGGACGUUUGAUUCUAUUUUGUUGGUUUCUAGGAUCGACGUAAUGAUUAAUAGGGAUAGUUGGGGGCAUUAGUAUUCAAUUGUCAGAGGUGAAAUUCUUGGAUUUAUUGAAGACUAACUACUGCAAAAGCAUUUGCCAGGAUGUUUUC